GUAUAUAUAGCUCAGUGGUAGAGUGUGUGCCUAGCAUGCAUGAAGUCCUGGGUUCAAUCCCCAGUACCUCCA
rnacentral:tRNA from 1 species